rnacentral:rRNA from 1 species
UGACGAGUGGCGCACGGGUGCGGAACGCGUAUCGAACCUGCCCCUGUCAGGGGAAUAGCCCAUGGAAACGUGGAUUAAUGCCCCAUGGUACCAUUAUAUCGCAUGAUAUUAUGGUUAAAGAUUUAUCGGACAGGGAUGGCGAUGCGUGCCAUUAGUUAGUUGGUAAGGUAACGGCUUACCAAGACAGCGAUGGCUAGGGGCCCUGAGAGGGGGAUCCCCCACACUGGUACUGAGACACGGACCAGACUCCUACGGGAGGCAGCAGUGAGGAAUAUUGGACAAUGGUGGGAACACUGAUCCAGCCAUGCCGCGUGCAGGAUGACUGCCCUAUGGGUUGUAAACUGCUUUUAUACGGGAAGAAACCCAGGUACGUGUACCUGGCUGACGGUACCGUAAGAAUAAGGACCGGCUAACUCCGUGCCAGCAGCCGCGGUAAUACGGAGGGUCCGAGCGUUAUCCGGAAUCAUUGGGUUUAAAGGGUCCGUAGGCGGGCCAAUAAGUCAGAGGUGAAAGGCCACGGCUCAACCGUGGGACUGCCUUUGAUACUGUUGGUCUUGAGUCAUAGUGGGGUUGCCGGAACAUGUGGUGUAGCGGUGAAAUGCAUAGAUAUCACAUAGAACACCGAUCGCGAAGGCAGGUGGCCAACUAUGUACUGACGCUGAUGGACGAAAGCGUGGGGAGCGAACGGGAUUAGAUACCCCGGUAGUCCACGCCGUAAACGAUGGAUACUAGCUGUGGGGUCUUCGGACUCCGUGGCCAAGCGAAAGUGAUAAGUAUCCCACCUGGGGAGUACGUUCGCAAGAAUGAAACUCAAGGAAUUGACGGGGCCCGCACAAGCGGUGGAGCAUGUGGUUUAAUUCGAUGAUACGCGAGGAACCUUACCAGGCUUAA